AUUGAACGCUGGCGGCAGGCCUAACACAUGCAAGUCGAGCGGAUGAGUGGAGCUUGCUCCAUGAUUCAGCGGCGGACGGGUGAGUAAUGCCUAGGAAUCUGCCUGGUAGUGGGGGACAACGUUUCGAAAGGAACGCUAAUACCGCAUACGUCCUACGGGAGAAAGUGGGGGAUCUUCGGACCUCACGCUAUCAGAUGAGCCUAGGUCGGAUUAGCUAGUUGGUGAGGUAAAGGCUCACCAAGGCGACGAUCCGUAACUGGUCUGAGAGGAUGAUCAGUCACACUGGAACUGAGACACGGGCCAGACUCCUACGGGAGGCAGCAGUGGGGAAUAUUGGACAAUGGGCGAAAGCCUGAUCCAGCCAUGCCGCGUGUGUGAAGAAGGUCUUCGGAUUGUAAAGCACUUUAAGUUGGGAGGAAGGGCAGUAAGUUAAUACCUUGCUGUUUUGACGUUACCAACAGAAUAAGCACCGGCUAACUUCGUGCCAGCCGCCGCUGUAACAC
rnacentral:rRNA from 1 species